rnacentral:rRNA from 1 species
UACAGAGGGUGCGAGCGUUAAUCGGAAUUACUGGGCGUAAAGCGCACGUAGGCGGCUUUGUAAGUUAGAGGUGAAAGCCCGGGGCUCAACUCCGGAAUUGCCUUUAAGACUGCAUCGCUAGAACGUCGGAGAGGUAAGUGGAAUUCCGAGUGUAGAGGUGAAAUUCGUAGAUAUUCGGAAGAACACCAGUGGCGAAGGCGACUCACUGGACGACUGUUGACGCUGAGGUGCGAAAGCGUGGGGAGCAAACAGG